GGGGGGGGUCACAGGGAACAGAGGACACCCUGGAUGGGAUGCCAGCUCUCUGCGGGACACACUCACGCUACAAGAUGCCUGUUCAUAUAACUAAAUCUUUUUGGACUGUCCAGGGAAAGCGGAGUGCCCUCACAACAUGGGGAGAACAUGCAGACUCACAAAGUUGGAGCAGAAGAGAAAAAAACCCUUGGAACAAAGACUCAGUGGAUGGGAGAUCACACAGGUCCAAGCCCUGAAAGAGACAAUUAUCCACAAUUGGAGCCUGUCGGGAUGAACAAACGUUUAAUAAGCAGGAUGAGGCUCCAGUUGCCCCGGAGAGGCAUGGCUCUUGUCCGUGAGCAAGGGGUGCGGUUGAGUGACGAGGUCAGCCCUUGGCUGGGAUGCUGAUGCCCCCCGAUAAUGGAGACAGGGGUGGCUGAUCACAGCAGGAGGUUGGCGGGACCAGGAUGGUGCUCUGGUGCUGUGGGAGAGGUCAGCCUGGCCAUCUCUCCUGAUCAGCUCAGGAGGCUCCGGGCCUGCCCAAGCACCUCACUGGAGUUGAGACUCAAGCCACCAAGCAAACAGUGUUUUAUAGGCAAGUAUUUGCAGUCGGUGCAUUAUUUCUCUCCGAAGAAAUGUCCUCCGAAGACACUUUAAAUGUUUCUCGGGAACUCGUGUACAUCAAGGGUUGUAAUUAAUUUAUUGAGCUCCACCCAGACCCAAAAAAGCAAAGAAAAAACCCAAAUCGGUUUUCACUGGAACCACCUCUGGGGAAUUUCACAGAACUGGGUUAAAACGUUUAGGAAUCGGUAAGUAAUUGGGCUGAUUUGGGCUUGUUUGUGGUUAGAGGUGAAGGCAGCUUGAGAUAAAGCAGCACUUUGGGUAUGUUUGUGCAGUUUACAGGUUUUUGAUUGCUGCAGGAAGCAGGCCUGGGAUUAAUGGAUGGGGGCUGCAUCACGUCGCUCUGUUCACUGCCGCAGUUGGGCUCUAGUGGCCACCUGACCACACCGUCUGAGGAGCUGCACUUGCUGCCCUGGACCUGCUCCAUGAGUUCUAUGUUUCCCAAAUGGUUUUGUUUAUGAGUAAUAAGUGAUGGCACACAAUCGGCGCUGCAGGAGGGCGUUCAAUGCUGAGGGGGACACUGCUUAAACAUGAAUGGAUCCAAAUUAUAUACUGGAGGGGGAGAAGCACAAUCCCAAAUGGACUUGCCAGUCUUU